rnacentral:lncRNA from 1 species
CAUAAUGCAAUAAGGUUACAUAAUGCAAUAUUUUUAAUGGAGAGAAAGAAAACUUUUAAAAGAUAUUUGACACAGGGACCUGCACCAAGUCUUUAGGUAACAGCUGGAUGUCUCUCAGACCUGCAGGGUUUGAUUGUAUCAUUUGAGAGCAAGACCGCUCACAUAACCUCCAUACUUGGUGAGAAACCAUCAAAUUCGACAAAACCCCUCAGAACACAGAAUUUCAAAAGUCUAAUAAAAAUGGAAGCCAAAAGUAGCCCUGUUAAAAGAAAAAGAGAGAGAGAAAACAACCAAAGGUAUAUAGCACCCAAUUCCUUCACAUUUGUUUUUUGAUAAGGCCAGAAGAAUCCUGCAGGUCCUUCGUAUUACUGAUGGCCAGAGCCUCAUGGUAUCAGAGAUGGAUUCUUCACUUCCCUUAACAAUUAUGCUAAUGUGAUCUGCAGCCAGAAGCCAGAGCUCCUGCCCCAACCAAAGUGUUCUGCUGACCUCCUGGUUUCAACUCAUGGGUACAUUGACCACUCCCAGCAGCCCUGAUGUGCAGAAGGCAAUCAACACACAGCGGCUGUUUCAGGCUUUGGCUUCUUGAGGCUCAUGAAGGCUCUGGUUUGCUGGCCUAGCUGCAGUGAGGUCCUGACACUCUGCUGAGGAGCUGUGUUCCCCCAGUCUCACAUCAAGCAAAAGGAACCUGUAUUUAGGGUAUUGCUUAUGGUGAUGACGAAGAAAGUUACCUCUGCCCUGGCUCAGUUUCCAUGGAUCAUGCGGUGGGUGAGUCCCACAGAUUGGCCUGUGUGACAGAGUAGGAACUGCCAGGAGAAACCAGUGAAAGGAAAAUCAGGAGACUCUAUAGUAUGUUAUAAGAGAUGCCCCAUUUGCUUUUUGCAUUUAUCCAUGAAAAUCUUCACUAAACAGAAAGGAAGAAGAAAUUGGAAGUUUGCUCUCUCAACUUAUUUAUGGAAGAUAAGACCAUUAUCUACAUUGAGUUUGUGAAGAUUCUAUACUACUCCUUUUAUUGUGGGGAUCGAACUCGGGACCUUGCACUUUCGAGGAAGGUGCUAGAACCACUAAGCUAAAUCCCCGGCCCCAGAAGCUUAUUUCUUUUAAUAGGAGUGGCAUGUUCUUUCUGUAGAGUCUUCUGGCAAAUCAAUGUUAUGCAAAUUACUU